AAAACAAAAGGGGACAAAGACCAUCCAACCUUCCGUUAUUAAUGCAAUCGUGUAUAGCCUCCUAAUUUAUUCACACUAAAUACUUCUUUCUAUCAUUCCCUCCUCAACAACUACGGUGUUUUCCAACUUGUUGCAUCUGCUCCUCCUGGUCGUGGACGCUACUCUGUUGGGACUGCUUCGUUCAAUAAUAAGGUGGUGGCGGUGGAGGGUAAGGCCCCGGCGGCGGUGGGCGUGGCGGAGGCGGUGCGUAAGGAUCGAAGAAGGCAGGUGGUGGAGGGGGCCCAGGUGGGCCUGGUGGUGGUGGUGGUGGUGCUGGUGAUGGCGGCGGUGCAGCGAAGGGGCUCGGACCGGGCGGCCAUGGUCCUGGUGGCGGUGGGGCAUAAGGACCUGGCGGUGGGGCAUAAGGAUCUGGUGGUGGUGGAGCGAAGG
rnacentral:lncRNA from 1 species